GGAAAUUACUGAAGUGAGAGGGGUCAAUAAUGCUACUUUCGAAGACUAGAAAGUAGAAAGGAGGAGUAGAAUCUAUUUUUUGCUUAGGAGAGUGACAGUGAGUCCAUUGAAUCAUCAAUCCUCAAACUCUGAGAAUGGCCUAUGACUCCGAAAGUUCGUCUUCCACGGUUCGUCUGAAUAUCGGAGGAAGGAAGUUUUGCACUACACUGGAUACCCUCACACAACGUGAGCCAGACUCGAUGCUCGCUGCUAUGUUUAGUGGUCGUCAUACUAUCUGCCAGGAGUCAGAGAAGGGACACAUAUUCGUUGACAGGGACGGAAAGCACUUCCACCAUAUCCUUAAUUGGUUGAGGGAUGGUGUAAUUCCACCCCUGAAAGAUUCUGAAUAUGCUCAGCUUCUGCGGGAGGCGGAGUACUAUCAACUCCUUGGUCUAGUAGAUGGAAUUAAAUCUGCCCUAAGUAAGAGGAAGGAGGAUGAGGAGUUGGGUACUGAAUUGACACGCAUUGACAUUAUCAAAUGCAUACAGUCUGAGAGAGUCAGAUUUCGGGGAAUUAAUCUUUCUGGUCUUGAUCUUUCGAAGUUGGACUUGUCGUUUGUGGAUUUCAGCUAUGCAUGUCUAAAAACAGUGUUCUUCUCACGUGCCAAUCUUCAAUGUGCAAAAUUCAGGGAUGUUGAUGCCGAAGCUUCCAUUUUUCACAAUGCCACAUUGCGCGAAUGUGAAUUCACUGGAGCAAAUCUUCGUGGAGCUGUAUUAGCUGGUGCUAAUCUUCAAAGUGCAAAUUUACAAGAUGCUUGUCUAAUAGGCUGUAGCUUUUGUGGGGCGGAUCUUCGUUCUGCUCACCUACAGACAGCUGAUCUUACCAAUGCCAACCUCGAAGGAGCUAAUCUUGAAGGUGCAAAUCUGAAGGUUAGGUUUGGGGUUAUUAGAGAAGGUCGUGGAAUUUUUGGAAGGGUUUGGAUGACUUCUACUAGAUUGGUAGGUGGAUCCAUAAGAAAAAGUGGGAGGAUUAUCAAAUCUGGGAGUGGUUUUGGGAUUGGAAAGCACUGAAGAUCCAGAAGAUACUUGCUGCUGGACAAAUAUGGCCUGCUCCUGUAUUCUAGCUAAGUUAACUGCCUUAGCUAGUGACCUUGGUGCAAGCAUUUUAACAGGGUGCGAAGUUAACCAAUGCAAAUCUGAAGGGUGCAAACCUUCAAAGAGCUUAUCUUCGGCAUGUGAAUCUUCGUGAUACACAUUUGGAGGGGGCGAAGCUUGAUGGUGCCAAUUUACUGGGUGCAAUCAGGUGACACACAGAUUUGUUCUCAUCCCAAACCUCUACAAAAAGGAUUUGUAUAGCAAUAGUAUCAAGCCUUACAUGUAUUGACCAACUAUUUUAGUUUAAUUUGGUGGUCUAAAUCUCAAUUUAAUUAUCUGCAUGUGUGUAAACCCAAUUUGUUUCAAACCAUUCUGGCCUUGUAAAAAUGUUUUAACUUGUCAAAUCUGAGAUGAUCAAACAAGAGGUACUUUCCAAGAAGAA